AUGUUAAGUUGAAACUGCCCAAGAGGCAAAAAGGAAAAAAACAAAAAACAAAAACAAAAACAAAACCCCAAAAAAACCAUGAGAGGCCAACGCUCAGUCUUUCUGUCAUUCAAAAGGGAAGAUUUCAGGUAUUUAAGAGAAGCAGGAAAAGGUAGCUGAUGAUCCUUUGGCGCCCAUUCAGUAACUCCUAGGAGCUUUCACCUACACUACCUUUGCCCCUCCCUCUCUAACUAGCAGGGAGAUUCCAGGUAAUUUACCUAAUGCAAUACAGGUGAUCCCUUAUCUGUGCACUUGGAAAGCAGAUGGGGUGGGGCUAAUAAUCCCUGGCUCAUAAGUUUGUUGUAAGAAUUUAGUGAGGUGCUUAUAAAGCUCUAGCAGGGUGCAUUGCACAUUGUAAACAUCCAGUGAAUUCUGCAAUUCCUAUAACACCCUUCCAAGAAGGUGUUACUAUCUCCAUUAAGAAAUAAGAUUCCUCCACUUGACAGAGUGUCACUAGUGUAUGGAGAGCCAGGAUUCCAAUCCAGGUCCCUAGUCACAAAACCUAUGGCCUUUCUACUGUAUCUGUUAACUCUAAAAGGCAUUUGCCAAAUGAGAGUUGUUUUACUUUUUUAAAAGAAUAUUAAAUGACAUAAUGACCAGUGUAGGAAGCAGACUUUCUGGGGUAUUUCUUAGGCUGUCAGUAAGAGCCUUGAGAUUCGCAUUGAACCAUAACUCAGGAAAAUUGGUUCUGUAAGGGGCCAGGCUAUAAAGUCCAGCUUCGCAAAGAACUAACUUAACGUAAAUAGAGGAUGAGCCCCUCCAACUAUUCACAUGCACCUAACCCUGGCUGGUCACAUAAGGUGCUUUGUAAUAUUCAUGAUAGCUUAAUGGGCCUGAUUAUGAUGGCAUGAGAGGUGCUUUUCUAACAGAAACAGCCCUCAGCAACCUCCUCUGCUUGAUCUGCUUCUGUAUGAGCUGAAAAAAAGCAUUUUCUUGACUCCAUAGCGGCCAAUCCCCUGCCUGCCUCUUUGUUUUGGUUCUAGUUUUCACCCCCUUGGCAACAGGCUCCUGCUAGGCAUUGUGAACCCUCAGCCUGCCAGGAUUCCAGGACAUGUUUCUGGAAGGUAACAUGAGAGGCAUGGUGUCCCCUGGCCUGCCUCUUUGAAUAGUUUACUCUGUCUACAUUCUCAGCUGGAGCUGGCACAUGGUCAGCUGUGAAUCGGAGGCUCCACCCUUGCCCUGGCUUCCUAGGCCUUAGGUUCUGGGGCUGAUAGAAUGGAGAACGCGAAUGAACCAAGAAACUCAGGCACAGAGAAGUUAAGCAACUUGCUCAAGAUCACACAGUCAUUAAGUGGCAAAACUGGGAAUGGAACCUAGGCAUUUUGGCUCGUCUUUCUCCUAACCAACACUAUUAGCAAAAAUCCUGAUGUAUGAAAGAAAAUAACAACUGCUUUACACAGUUUUAUGUGGUUUAAAUGAAAUAAGAGCCCAUCCUCAGCCCACCCACAAAUGGCUGUAUCCAGCACUGCAUAUCUGCUCAAAAAACAAAAGCGACCCAAGUGGAGAGAGAAAGCUAAUCAUGGGCUUGGCAUCUGAUUGUGGUCUGGCUUAAUACAUUAUUCUUAGAGCCAACUGGAAAGGAAACCACCACCCAAAUCCGUCACGACGUGUGCUA